rnacentral:tRNA from 15 species
GGGCAGUUAGCUCAGCUGGUAGAGCGCUCCGUUUACACCGGAGUGGUCAUAGGUUCGAAUCCUAUACUGCCCACCA